CAGUGGCCGGAGGAGGAAUUACAUCACUUACUGGCUGGAGCCCAUCAAAGCCGCAGCACCCCCUGCAGGAAGUGUUCUAAAACUGCUUCAUAAUUUAACAACUGGCUCCAGCUCACCGCUGAAUAAAGUAUACAACACACUUUAGAAACAAUAGCUGCAUUCUUGCAAAAUAGUUUCCCCUCACUUCCCCUGCCUCCAUUCUAUUCAGAUGGAGUAGUCAGACGCAUAGAGCAAUUACUUUCAAUUCUGUUUGUUAGGUUAAGGAAUAAAACACUACUAUGACUGAAGCUCAUAACGUGCCAGAGAGGCUAUAUGAAACUUGAAUACCCAUGACCUAUGGGGAAAGCAGCGAGUCUCAGAAAGAAAAUUGCCACAGUAAAAUGUGAAACAAUGAAUACUAAUAAACCUUGCUAAUUAACAAGCCACGUGAACUUCAAGUUAGUUCUUCUCACCCUCAAGCUAACACUUCACUAAGAUUUAUUACAUUUAUUUACGCUACAUUGAUGACAUCUUCAUCAUCUGGACCCAUGGAAAAAGCUCUUGAUGAAUUCCCCAUGAUUUCAACAAUUUCCAUCCCACCAUCAACCUCAGCCUGGAC